rnacentral:rRNA from 1 species
UACGUAGGCAGCAAGCGUUUGUUCGGAGUUACUGGGCGUAAAGGGUGUGUAGGCGGUUGGAUAGUGUGGUGUGAAAUCUCCCGGCUCAACUGGGAGGUGCGCUACAAACUGUCUGACUAGGAGUGUGGGAUGGGUAAGUGGAAUUCCUGGUGUAGCGGUGAAAUGCGUAGAUAUCAGGAGGAACACCGGUGGUGUAGACGGCUUACUGGACCAUAACUGACGCUGGAGAACACGAAAGCCGUGGGUAGCAAACAGG